CUACGGGGCGCUGCAGUGAGGAAUCUUGCGCAAUGGGGGAAACCCUGACGCAGCGACGCCGCGUGGGUGAUGAAGGCCUUCGGGUCGUAAAGCCCUGUCGAGAGGGAAGAAUUGCAUUUAGGUUAAUAGCCUAAUUGUUUGACGGUACCUCCAAAGGAAGCACCGGCUAACUCCGUGCCAGCAGCCGCGGUAAUACGGAGGGUGCAAGCGUUGUUCGGAAUCACUGGGCGUAAAGGGCGUGUAGGCGGCUGAGUAAGUCAGGUGUGAAAUCCCUCGGCUCAACCGAGGAAGUGCAUUUGAUACUGCUCAUCUUGAGUACUGGAGAGGGAGAUGGAAUUCCCGGUGUAGAGGUGAAAUUCGUAGAUAUCGGGAGGAACACCAGUGGCGAAGGCGAUCUCCUGGACAGAUACUGACGCUAAGGCGCGAAAGCGUGGGGAGCAAACAGGAUUAGAUACCCCCGUAGUC
rnacentral:rRNA from 1 species